AGCUCAUCACAAAUUCUCUCUCUCUCUCUCUCUCUCUCUCUAUAUAUAUAUAUAUAGAGUUAAGCUAGAAUACUUGUAAAAAUAUUAUGUGAGUGGUGUUUUUGAGUUUUUAGCCAUUGGAUGGAGAGAUGUGAGGUUGAGAUGAUGAUGGUAGGUGGUGGUAGGUGGUGGUAGGUGGAAUAGUAUUUGAUCCAAGGGCUAUUAGUAAUAUAGGAGUAGAUCCAAUGGCUAAAAACCUAAUAGCAUUAUGGAGGUGAUACUUGUAAAAGUAUUCUAGCUCAAUUCUAUAUAUAUAUAUAUAUA
rnacentral:lncRNA from 1 species